GGUGGUAUCAGUCAUUUGAGUCAUAUCAGGCUGGAUUCCGGUUAGAUAGACGAUGCUGGAUGUAACCGGAUAGUCCUGAUGAUGAACAUACAUCACUGGGUACCAAGG
rnacentral:pre_miRNA from 1 species